rnacentral:rRNA from 1 species
CCAACCCCCUUCGGGGGGGGGGGACUGCGGAAGGAUCAUUACCGAGUGCGGGUCCUUUGGGCCCAACCUCCCAUCCGUGUCUAUUAUACCCUGUUGCUUCGGCGGGCCCGCCGCUUGUCGGCCGCCGGGGGGGCGCCUUUGCCCCCCGGGCCCGUGCCCGCCGGAGACCCCAACACGAACACUGUCUGAAAGCGUGCAGUCUGAGUUGAUUGAAUGCAAUCAGUUAAAACUUUCAACAAUGGAUCUCUUGGUUCCGGCAUCGAUGAAGAACGCAGCGAAAUGCGAUAACUAAUGUGAAUUGCAGAAUUCAGUGAAUCAUCGAGUCUUUGAACGCACAUUGCGCCCCCUGGUAUUCCGGGGGGCAUGCCUGUCCGAGCGUCAUUGCUGCCCUCAAGCCCGGCUUGUGUGUUGGGUCGCCGUCCCCCUCUCCGGGGGGACGGGCCCGAAAGGCAGCGGCGGCACCGCGUCCGAUCCUCGAGCGUAUGGGGCUUUGUCACAUGCUCUGUAGGAUUGGCCGGCGCCUGCCGACGUUUUCCAACCAUUUUUUCCAGGUUGACCUCGGAUCAGGUAGGGAUACCCGCUGAACUUAAGCAUAUCAAUAAG